rnacentral:rRNA from 1 species
GGGCCCGCACAAGCGGUGGAGCAUGUGGUUUAAUUCGACGCAACGCGAAGAACCUUACCCAGACUUGACAUGCAUCGGACAGGUGUGGAAACACACUCUCCCUUCGGGGCCGGUGUACAGGUGCUGCAUGGCUGUCGUCAGCUCGUGUCGUGAGAUGUUGGGUUAAGUCCCGCAACGAGCGCAACCCUUGUCCUUAGUUGCUAACGGGUAAUGCUGAGCACUCUAAGGAGACUGCCGGUGAUAAACCGGAGGAAGGUGGGGAUGACGUCAAGUCCUCAUGGCCCUUACGUCUGGGGCUACACACGUGCUACAAUGGCCGGUACAAAGGGUUCCGAUACCGCGAGGUGGAGGCAAUCCCAAAAAACCGGUCUCAGUUCGGAUUGCAGUCUGCAACUCGACUGCAUGAAGUCGGAAUCGCUAGUAAUCGCUGAUCAGCAGGCAGCGGUGAAUACGUUCCCGGGCCUU